rnacentral:rRNA from 1 species
UACAGAGGUCCCAAGCGUUGUUCGGAUUCACUGGGCGUAAAGGGUGCGUAGGUGGCCGGUUAAGUCUGACGUGAAAUCUCCGAGCCUAACUCGGAAACUGCAUCGGAAACUAUCCGGCUCGAGGGUUGGAGGGGGGACUGGAAUACUUGGUGUAGCAGUGAAAUGCGUAGAUAUCAAGUGGAACACCAGUGGCGAAGGCGAGUCCCUGGACAACUUCUGACACUGAGGCACGAAAGCUAGGGGAGCAAACAGG